CCCUUAGACGUUCUGGGCCGCACGCGCGCUACACUGACCAGUGCAACAAGCAUCCGUCCUUGGCCGACAGGCCCGGGCAAUCUUUGAACGCUGGUCGUGAUGGGGAUAGACUUUUGCAAUUUUUGGUCUUCAACGAGGAAUUCCUAGUAAACGCAAGUCAUCAACUUGGAUUGAUUACGUCCCUGCCCUUUGUACACACCGCCCGUCGCACCUACCGAUUGAAUGGUCCGGUGAAGCCUCCGGAUUGGCGCGCACCUCGGUGCCGCCGAGAAGUUGGCUAAACCUUACCAUUUAGAGGAAGGUGAAGUCGUAACA
rnacentral:rRNA from 1 species